UCUUUCUUUCUUUCUUUCUUUCUUUCUUCCUUUCUGUACUAGAGAUUGAAUUUGGGGCUUACUGCAUGCUAGGAGAGUGCUCUACCACUGAGCUCUGCCAGCGCCUCUAAUACUUUAUAAGGCAAAGAGAGCUACCUACUGAUUCUUAUGGUGUUUGCUGACUGACAGAGGGGAGGGCUGUGUCCUGCCCAAAGACUCAGAGAAAGUUCAGCAUGGUCCUGAGAUUUUUUUUUUUCUUCCUGGCAUUUCAUGUAAAAUUGGACACGUGAUCUUUCUCCUAAGCGCAAGCCUAAGGUUCUAGUAUGUGUUUUGGACUUGCAGUGAGAGUAACUUAGCAUAAGCCACCUCUUUGUCUUGCAUUGCAGUAGCCUUUGCAGAGUUGGGCCCAGGUCACCCUUGCAGUUUUACAAUUUCUUUUCUUGACAUCUAAACUCUGCUAAAAAGUUGCAGCCUCAGGGACACCUGCCUUUCUGAUGUAACUAACAAACACUGCUAACUUAGAACACAUGUUCUUCAGAGUUCACCUAUAGCCUUGAGUCCCGCAUUUGCAAGCUCAGCAUCUUUCAUUGAAGACAGCCUAAUUUUCUUAAAUUCCCUAUUUUGCCUCUCCUUGAACUAUUGUCUUUUGUAACAGUAAUAAGGAAAUGUGGUUAUGGGUUUAAUUGCCACGAGGCAAUUGUCCCCUAGAGGACUCAGUAGAAUUUUCCACUCUAUAUCUGAGGGCUGGGCUCCAUCAAGAUGAUCAUUCAUAAAUAACUCAAUUAGAGUAAUAACAACAAUGCAUUUAUUUUUAUGACAACUUUGCCUCGGAGAGGUCCUAUCAAGUCAUUGUUCUAAUACCCCACUAGAAUGGGAUAAAUAUACAUUUCGAAAGUUUUUCUAUAGCUCCUUUGAAGUAGAGAAGUGAGGCAGAAAGUGUCCUUGAUGUCCCUGAGGUCACAACGUUUCUAGGGCCAGGACAAGGAAGAAUGCAGGUGAGGUCUCAUGUCACUGCAGGGUCUCAAGCCAGACAGGAAAGGAGCAAGGCCCAGCAUCCUCUUAGAAUUGCAGAUGAUGCUGGAGAAGGUGCUUGCAAAGCCCCAAAGGCCUUGUUGCUGUCUUCAUCCCCUCCUACAAGAGAGCUCUGUGUGGUUGUCUAGCUGGCCCUUAAUCUGGAGAAAGGGUUUUGCACAUUUUCUGAUUGACUAGAUCCAAGCUACCUGUUGUGUUCUUCAGUAAUAUAGGACUAAUUGAAAGUUUACAUUUGUAUUUCUCAAUUUUAAAACCUCCUAUGAGAUUGAUAACCAAGUUUGAGCAGAUUAGGAAGUCAAAGAUUCAUUCUCAAUGCUCUGCUUAAACUGCAAGCCAAAAGCUUACCCAACUAGUGGGUUGCCUGCUUGUUUGUAUGCUUUUUUUUUUCCUUGCAGUUUUACUGUAGACUCUAUAGUUGCAGAAUGAAUAUAAUGAAUUUUGGGCUGAUUUUUAUGUUUUAGUGGAACUAGGAAAAUGGGGAGUAAAAUUACCUUUAAGUUCCCCGUUGGAUUUGAAGCAACUCUAGUGGCUGACCUCCCUGGGGAGUAGACACAAUUAACUACAGCAUCUUAACACUAUUGUUUGUUUUAUUAUGGUUAAAGAUAACGGAUCUUUAUGCUCUUGGUUCAAGUAUCUAGUGUCCAUAGAGGCUUGGGUAUGAUAUUGGUCCCCAGCAAAGGAAACCUCUUCCAAAUAUAGAAGUUCCAAGUCCACAGGGGCUCUGCUUUUUGACUUCUAACGGGAAACAAUGUGAACUUAGGUAAAGUAUACACACAUGUUUUUUUAAAAAAAUAUUUAAUUGUAGUUUCAAAAUUCUUGGGUGAGUUUCUACUUUUCAUUUUGUCCUAAGCAAAAGAGCGACAUUGCACUUAGAUAUGUCCCUGGAAGCCUUCUGGGAGGAAUAAUGACCUUGAGACAACCUCAUCACCUCUUGUUGUGCCUUAACCCUAAUGAAUGUUCAGCCAAAAACUAAUCCAGGUAAACAGAGAGGAAAAAGUCAAUCAAUGCAAGCCUGUUUGUGAAAUAGCAGAGGGGAACCGCCCAUCCUUUAACUGAGCUGUUAGCCUUGCCCCUGGGCCAAGGGAAUACUGACUGCCCUGUAACUAUCUCACUUGCAUAAACAGGGGAAUGAGAAAAGCAAGAAGUAGAUGCUGUUGCCAAAUGUUCUCCAAGGCCAUUUUCUGUCUGCUGAGACUCUACUCCCAUUUUCUUUUUUUUUUUCAAUAAAUAUAUUUUCCUUAAAUUUAUAAGUUUUGCCAUACAAUGCAGGGACUGAUUAAAAUAAUUCUCAGAAUCAAAUUUAAAAUAGCUUAAUGAACAUAGUGUUUCUUUAAAAAUACUUAUUUUACUUUGUGCUUAUGCGUUCAUUUGUGUCUGGUGCUGGUGAGGGUCUGUGCACAAAUGAGUGCAGGCACUGACAGAGUCAGAGAGAGAGAACUAGCUUGCCUGGGGCUGACAAGGGAUUGUGGAUCAGCUGAUGUGGGUGCUGAGAUGCUAACUUGGGUCCUGUGCAAAAGUAGCAAAUGUUCUUAGUUGCUGAGCUGUGUCUCCAGCUCCUAAUAAACAUGAGUUUUCAAUGGAUAAAAUCUCCACAUGCUGUUCAAAGGUAACUGACAAACACAUAACAAACUCGCGUGAUAGUGGACAAAUGAGACAUUGUCUUAUUAGGUUUCUGUUGUUGUGAUAAAACACUAUGAGUGAAAGCCACUUGGAGAGGAAAGGGUUUAUGUCCCCUUACUUCCAAAUAACGUCCAUCACUGAGAGAAUUCAGGUCAGGAACCCAAGCCAGGUACCCAGAGGCAGGAGCUGGGCCAGAUGCCAUAGAGGAGUGUUGCUUGCUCAGCCUGCUUUCUUAAUAAUGCCCAGGACUGCCAAUCCAAGAGUGGCACUACCCACUAUGGGCUGGUCCCUCCCAAAUCAAUCAUAAAGAAAAAAAAAACAAACCAAAAAACCAACCAACCAAAAAAUAAAUAAAUAAAUAAAUAAAUAAAAACCGCCCUGCACUGUGGGUUUGCCUACAGGCCAGUCUGGUUGGGACAUUUUCUCAGUUGAGAUUCCCUCUUCCCAAAGCCAUGUCUUUUGUCAAGUUGACCCCCCCCCC
rnacentral:lncRNA from 1 species